UUAUAAAAGAACCAAUACAAUUUCUACAGAUAUUAAACUGGCAUUGCUAUAGAAAAGCUGAAAUAGUAUUUUAUCCAUUUCCGUUUUGCGCCGCGCUUGCAUUAUAUACACUUUCCCCACCAUCCCCUAUCCCCACCCCCGCUGGUUUAGUCUGUGCCAGCAGCCAGGCCCGUGCGAGUUCGUGUUUGUUUGAAAAAUACCACCGGUGUACUUCAAUAUUUUUAACCGAAAUUGAAAUGACGAUGAACGCGGUAUUUUUAUAAAGUUCCUUUGCUCGAAAAAGCCCCAUUGGUGACGUACGGGGAGGCGGCAGGCAGAUGGGAUGGAAGAGGGGAAGGAUAGGACAGAGAGAGGCUUGGGAGGGACUGCGAAGGGGAAGUAGUAUGGAGGGGUAGUCAGGAAAUAUUUCCUUUUUCCCCUGUCGAUUCCUAUAAUAUAGAGAAGUGUAUUGCGAUAAGGGUUAUAUCAAAAGGACGUAUUAAAAGAUAGUUUUGAAAACGUAACUGAAUCACGUUUAUGUUCUCUAUUCUUGUUUUUUUUUUGUUUUUCUAUUAUUAAUCGAGUCACCAUAAUAAGCAUAUAUAAGCAUGAAAUAUGUACGUACGUAGAUAUGUCGUAUUACAGCUGAAAAUAAUUUUGACGUUGGCACAGAUAUGACAUAGCAAACAUACGAGGAAGGUUGAAAUUCAAAGUAUUUACAAUGAUAACAGAUAUGCAUAUGUAUAUGUUAUAUGUGUAUGUAUAUAAAUAUCAAAUCAGAGGAGCAUUGAUAGACAUAUUUGGUUCGACCUAUUUGUACUCGAGUGAUAUUACGAUUUUUCUGAAUGUUAGAGUUUCAUUUGGGGAUGGGGGAAAAGGGAAGAAAAAAGAAAAAAGGGAAAAAGAAAAUUACGACGUUCGUUACAUUUCGCAGAGUUAACAAUUGAAAUCCGUCUAUUCUCUUGAAUCGGGGCUUGAAAAGUGUAUAAAACGUUAAUCGAAAAGUGUCCCGUGUUUGUCUUAACAAUGAGAGCGCGAACGAGGUGCGUUUGAAGUUUCGAAAUGAUUUCUCGCAAGGAACGAUCUAUAUAUAAUAUCGCGACUAGAACGGACUCGGUGAAGACGUAGAGAGAAAAAAGGGGGGUAGGGAAAGGGUGGUUGGGAGGACAGAGCGGGGCUCUCCUCCCCGGUCUCAUUUUAAAGUUUCAAAGGAAAAAAGCUAGAAAUACUUUAACUGGAAAUGAAAUUUCGAAAGGGUAGAAGGAGGUAGAAACGGAGAGAUUCCACCUCCUCCUCCUCCUCCUCCUCCUCCUCUUCUUCCCUCCCACCCAGCCUUUUCCCUCACUUGAAAAAUGUGUAAUACGAGCUUAUACUCAGACUUCCCCCUCUCUUAACUUCAGUCCCUGGAAUCUCGCGACCCUCCUCCUCCUCCUCCUCCUUUUCAUCCUUCUCUUUCUCUCUCUUUCUCUCUUUAUCUCCCUCACCCUCGCUCUUACCCUCACCAUCACCCAUAUACCCACCCCCGAACCUCAUACCUCUUCAAUGUACAUUCGAGUUCCGCUGCUCGGAUGGCUGAGCAGACAUAUUGAAAGCGCACGUAGACAAUGGUAGGAAGCUUUUGUGUUUCUUGCUGUGCAUGCCCUUACGAAUAUUAAACGACUUCCGUCAACCUGCCGGAAGCAUUUUGGGAUUUUUCAAAUCGAGGUCGCGCGUGAUUCGCAACGAUGAGAUGACUGCUCCUCUCUCCUUUGAGGGAUGGGACAUAGAUUAUAUCAAAAUAUCUAUUAACAUCGUAAACUUGUAUUCUUCUCUAAGGUAACUAAUUGGUCGAUAAAAUAAUUUAGAGUAAAAAAA